AUAGCGCACCGCCGGGGAGGGUGAGACCCCUCGACAGGGUUCGACAAAACGCCUGCGUUUGGGCCCGCCAACGGCGCCCCGCAGGGUGAGCGCAGCGAAUCAAUCCCUCCCUCACCGCCA
rnacentral:sRNA from 1 species